GCCCGGUUAACUCAAUGGUAGAGUGUCAGGCUUUUAUUGCCUCCAAUGAGAACCUGAAGGUGUAAGUUGAUGCCUACGCAACUUCUGAACAGUAUCAGAUACUAACGUAUAACAGUGCGGGUUCGACCCCCGCAUCGGGCU
rfam:Penicillium marneffei ATCC 18224 scf_1105668340970 genomic scaffold, whole genome shotgun sequence.